rnacentral:lncRNA from 1 species
CCAUAACUGAAACCACAAAUUUAUCCAUUACUUUAACUACGACAAAACAUACAAAACAUUAACCUGCUAAUAUUUUGUUCCUUAUACAAUUUCCAGUGACCGACUACUCCAAGCCAAUAAUUAGCAUCACUAGAGGCAAUUAAUUAUCACCUUUCCCCACUCAAACUUGUACCUUUAAGUACUCAUUCUAACAUAAAACUAAUUUAAUUGUUGAUUCUUUUCCUCCCAAGCCGACACUACACAUAGCCCUUUUACUAAG